rnacentral:lncRNA from 1 species
GUGCUCCUUGGACCACCCACAUCUUUUGGCUUCCAUCUCCUGCUGGGCAGGUGAAUCCCCUGAGGGAACAGGUCAGCUGUCUUCUUUCUACACCACUUUCAUCUCUUCCCCCACAAGACAACUUCCACCUCCUGCUGCCAGACCCCUCCAGGACAUCCAUCUCCAUUGCAAAGAAGAGGACCCUGCCUUUGGUUCAUAGACCUUCCCACUUGGGCUUCACCUGUCUUUUGGGGAGAACAGUGACUAGGAAAUGGGAAUUCAUUCUCCAGCUGUAAAGAUUCAGCUUCUGUCUCCAGCUGUGCCUUUUCCUGACUCAUCUUCAGCCUUUGGAGAGAUGAAGAGGUGUAAAAAUGAUGAAUUUCUAUCAGGGGAAAGAUCAUUGAGGGAAAGAACCUCUAGAAGAACAUAUUCAGAGGGAAAUUCACCAAACUGAACAGGAUAUUUGAAAGCCUCUCUCUCCCUCUCCCCCUCUCCUGCUCUCCCACUUCCCCCCCACACACUUGUGCCAGCCAAGAGGACCUUGCUGCCUAAUCAGAUGAGCGGUUCCUGGACCCAGCCUAAGAUGGACUGACUUUCCCUCUUACUCUACUGAGAUGGAUGUUUUCUAAUGACCUUCUAUGUUGUCUUGGGUUGGAGAAUUGUUUCACCCAAUUUUUUGUUGGUUCUGACACUCAAAUGUUUUGAAAUUUUUUUUUGAAAGUUGUUUGAAGGUGACUUUAGAAGGGCUUCUGGAUUCCUUCUUUAACUGUGACCUUAACUUCUGGAGUUCCUUUUUUAUUUUUAUUUUUGAAUGUGUUAUUUAUAUAGGAAUAAUUGCUACUUUAUUGGUUUUAUAUUUGAUUAAAAUCAACAAAAUUUGGUGGUUACUUUACCUUGUUGUAGGCUUUUUCUUAGGCACAUAGGGAGAAUGUGAAGGCAAAUGGGACAUAUUCUUCAAUAUUACAGUUGAAUUAGGUAGUUACAAUGUACACAAAUGAAAAUAUACCUAAUAAUUCAAUUUACUGAAUGUCACGUGUCUGUAGUACUCAUCACUUGCACGUUCAGGAUUAGUUAAUGGUGUUGAAAGACCAAAAGUGUGCAUUCAAUUUUCAUGUAUCCCUUGUGGAAGGACUCUUGUUUUGUUUUGUCUAAUUGUUCUAUUUUCCCUUUUCCUUUCUACUUGUAUUCAUCACCCAAAAACAACUUGAGAAUGUAAAAUGCAAAUGGUUCUACCAAUUGUUCUAAAAUGCAAACCUUAAAG